AACGAACGCUGGCGGCAGGCUUAACACAUGCAAGUCGAGCGCCCCGCAAGGGGAGCGGCAGACGGGUGAGUAACGCGUGGGAAUCUACCGAGCCCUGCGGAAUAGCUCCGGGAAACUGGAAUUAAUACCGCAUACGCCCUACGGGGGAAAGAUUUAUCGGGGUUUGAUGAGCCCGCGUUGGAUUAGCUAGUUGGUGGGGUAAUGGCCUAACAAGGCGACGAUCCAUAGCUGGUCUGAGGGGAUGAUAAGCCACAUUGGGACUGAGACACGGCCCAAACUCCUACGGGAGGCAGCAGUGGGGAAUAUUGGACAAUGGGGGCAACCCUGAUCCAGCCAUGCCGCGUGAGUGAUGAAGGCCUUAGGGUUGUAAAGCUCUUUCACCGGUGAAGAUAAUGACGGUAACCGGAGAAGAAGCCCCGGCUAACUUCGUGCCAGCCGCCGCAGUAACAC
rnacentral:rRNA from 1 species